rnacentral:rRNA from 1 species
GAUGAACGCUAGCGACAGGCUUAACACAUGCAAGUCGAGGGGCAGCGGGGUGUAGCAAUACACUGCCGGCGACCGGCGCACGGGUGCGUAACGCGUAUGCAACCUGCCUACCAGCCAGGGAUAGCCCGGCGAAAGUCGGAUUAAUACCUGAUGAAACAGGGGCCCCGCAUGGGGAUAUGUGUUAAAGAUUUAUUACUGGUAGAUGGGCAUGCGUUCCAUUAGGUAGUUGGCGGGGUAACGGUCCACCAAGCCAUCGAUGGAUAGGGGUUCUGGGAGGAAGGUCCCCCACACUGGUACUGAGACACGGACCAGACUCCUACGGGAGGCAGCAGUGAGGAAUAUUGGUCAAUGGCCGGGAGGCUGAACCAGCCAAGUCGCGUGGAGGAAGACGGCCCUACAGGUUGUAAACUUCUUUUAUAGGGGAAUAAAGUGCCCGACGUGUCGGGUUUUGUAUGUACCUUAUGAAUAAGCAUCGGCUAACUCCGUGCCAGCAGCCGCCGUAA